UUGAAUUCAAAUUAAUUCGUCCCCUACCAUAAAGUUGGGGGAGUUGGCGCAAGUAUUUCUGUUCCUCAAAAAGCAGUGUGAGCAUCAGGAGGGAAUGUUAUACACAGAAACUAGCAAAGCCAAAGAUGAAACUUGGCUUCAGCUUUGAAAAGAAUUUCAGUAGGGUGUCGUGGCAAGUACUAAAUAAAUUGGCUAAUGAGAGUGUAUUUCUAUCAUGGUGGAAUGAGCUAUUAACGAAUGGCUUUGAAAGGGAUGUUCUCAAUCUCUGACACAUAUAUCUUCAAACUGGAAUUCAUGGAAUGCUUUUCCCCAGAGCAGGUGCUUCCUGAAACCUCAGCCAAUUCAUGUGCUCCUAAUUGAAGAUCAUCUGUGGAACAGUAAAUGCACGUCUGUAUAUAAAGAGAAAAAUAUAGUCAUGUGUGUGUGUCUGUGUGUCUAGUUAUCAGUGUUAUCUGAACUGCUAAAACACUAUAAAUUGUAAUGUAAUUUUAUUUGCCCACAAUUGAGCUUUUGCAACUAAAACGUGAAAAAUUGGAGCACACCACGCACCUCAUUAUCAGGUUCAUACAUGGAUGUAUUUAAAAGAAGCCCCAAUUUAUCAUUGAAAACACACUGUGUCCGAAGAAAUGAUAAUGUAUUAUCUGCCAUACAGCUCUGUGGCUCCACCACACAGGAAGGAAGGCAUCAAUAGCACGACCAGCUAGGCAAAGGAUGUCCACAGAGACAGUAUGGAGCCAGAAAGACAUUCUUUAAAGUCUCUGUUUAUUAAUUCAGUAGCAGUAACCAUUUUUCUUUUUGUUAACAGCAACAGAAGGGGUGCCUAAAAACAUCUUCCUGAAAGGCAGCAAGAAGAACAUCACAAUGUAACAUAACACAACCUAAACAGCUCCGUGGAAUACUUGAUUCUGAUUGGUUAAUCAUGCCGUCAUUCAUGACAAUGCUGUACAUCAGUCCACUCUUCCAAUUUUAUACACAGGCCUUUUUAGCUGAGUCAGAGGCCAUUCACCACUUGGGGCCAUAACACCCUGUGACAGCUAAAAAGCCUGUAGUCUCCCAGCUGCCAGAAUCCUCUUAUUCACUGCAUUGGUCUCUCCCACUCUCACCAUGGCUACAGUCAGUCACCACAAACAUCAUCAGCCAGAGCUGUGCACAUCUCGACCUCGACCCAGCACUGCAGAUGAGUACUAACUAUUAACUUUGAUCCAUUCCAUGUUAAAAAUAUACUACUUUUAAAUAAAGUGGAUUUAAGAAUCUGCCCUGACAUUAUCCUUUAAAUGAUUGAUCUACUGAAGGCCAAAUCCCUGUGUUGGAAAAAUGAAACAUGAAGUUGAGUGGUAUGAAUUGCUAUCAGGGGCCCAUUUAUCUUCUCACAGCAGUAAUUGUGCAAUUUAACUUAAUGGGGAGAACAUUUGGCUCAUAUCCUUUGAGGCAAAUUAAAAUCUUUUACUAAUACUUAUAUUAAUACUUCACAAAUUAAACUUUUUCCUUUUUUCAUUUUGUCAUUAGAGGCCAUUUUCGACAAUUAUGGAGCUUUUAUGAUUUUGAUCAUGACAGUUGUUGAACUACAGCUGUUUUUUCUACUGCUACUAAAUAUUAAUAUCUUGAAAUAUAAAUGCUGUUGUGCAGACAGUGAAAACAUCUGUAUCAGCAUCUAAAUUAUGGUAGGUUUGAUUGUAUAUACACUUCCUGUACAAUCCCACCAUUGGGACACGCCAUUUUAUGGUUCUGGCAGAUGUAGAUAGACACCAUCAAAACCACAAACUGGCUUUGUGCCAUUUGGUGCUUUUUUUGAUAAUUGUUGUGAGGAGCAUAUCACAUUUAACAUACUGAUACAAGCAUAAAAUAAAAAUUUAAUUCACUGUGACAAUUGGAAUAUUCUGGCCCUCAUAUUAACCUCAAGCCAAGUCUGUGACAAAUACUAAGUAUACCCUAGAUGUAAUUCCACGAGGAAUUGACCAAUACAAAUUAGUCAGUUCUCCGCUAUGAUUUUCAGUAUGCCAUGGAUAGCACUUUAAAAGCCAUUUUAGCUGUUCAGGGUGUAAUGAUACAUCCAAACUAACAUGGGUGAUUACAUUUGACUAGGAGUGUAACAAUACCCUCAUGUCACGAUUCGGUACAUAUUGCGAUACUGAACUCACAAUACGAUAUUAUUUCGAUACUCCAAGACAUAUGGUAAAAGGUUUACAAAAAAUUUACUGUUGAUUAAAAUGCUACAUUUGGUAUUACAUUGGGGGUAGAAAUGAAUAGGCAUGGACUUGGUGCUGGUAACCCAAUGCAAAAAAACAUUCUGAAGCUUAAAAUACAGAAUUAUUUUAUACAAAUAUGCUUGCACUCUGUCACUGUCUAGAUACAUUUAAAAUAAUGUAGGCCACUUUUUACUGGUAACAUGAGACAUUUGACAUUAUCAGGACCCACAAAUAUUCCCCCAUUACAUUAAUACAUUAUAUUCAACAUUAUAUAUAGUAGUUUAAUGUAGUAGUGACACUAAAACUUGAUUUUUUUCUCACACAGUAACUUUAAUGGGUGAACUAUACACAAUAGCCUACAUAUUGUUACUAUCCAUGAUACAUAUUGUUGCAUUUUUGUAUUGCGAUAUGCAUAGAGUACCUCAGGGAUGACGUGUUUUUGUAGGCCAACCCGGAAGUUAGCGGCGCAUGGGUUCCCUCGAUCGAAAGCCUAUGCAUUUUUCCCAUAGGCUUUUGGAAAAUCGCAAAAAAUAACAAAGGGUUAUGACACUUGCACGUUUUGUCUAUCAAGAUAAUCUUUACAAGUUAACACAACAUUUAUACAUUUUGAAGCCUAAAUAAAGUCGUCAGAUAUAAAAAGCUAACAGUAGGCUAUAAACGGACUACAGCACACCAUGGUCGUGGAUCAACGUCACCACCACCAAGCUUCCUCACACUUUAUUUAAAAAACAACUUUAUUUAAAAACAUGCUCGCUGAUUAUGAUCUGCGCUGUGUAUGAAUACUGUCCAAAUGUCCUGUUUGUCAUGAUGACGUCUAAAGUCCCCGCCAAAGUAAGUAGUCAUAAAGGUUAGACACAAUAAAAGUUAAAAAAAUCACAAGCGGGUUAUAACUAAUGUGUUUUAUGUCAUAGAUCAAAACGUGAUUUUUUCAAAACGUGAAACAUGAGUUCUGGGAAUUAUCAAUAUUAUUAUUGUUUUUUUUUCAGAUGUGUGACUAUUUCUAGUAUUGUUUUUAACUGUGAUUUGUUGUUUCAGAUGGACUAUAACUGUAGUCUGUGGACUGAUUAUCUGAUUGCUUUAAUUAUGAUCAGGAUCACCUAAGGAUUUGUAGUGCAUUUUCUAUAUUAUUAUUGAGAGUGAGUGAAAUUGUCGCACUGAUGAAGGCAAAGAGCCGAAACGUUUGUCAUCUUAUCUCCUGUGUAUUAUGAUUAAAGUGCUUCAGAGUGCAGACCUUUUUUGUAUUCUUAAUUUGAUGUAUAGGUCUCAGCACCUAAUUAGCUGGGAGAGCGCGGUGAACGCUUUGAUUAGAUCAAAACGUGAAAAUAUUUAGAGGCUUUGUUAACCACAGACCUUAUUUCAGGCGAUUUAGCAAAAACCCAUUCAAAAAACCCAUAGACUUAAGGGCGAUGGAACCGGAAGUCCUACAAUGCUAAAUCCCUUCCGGGUUUUGCCUACAAAAACACGUCAUCUGAGGUACUCUAUUGUGACACGAUAUAUUGUUACACCCCUACAUUUGUCAAUUUCUUAUAAUUUUGUAUGACUGUCUUUAUCUGUCAUUGUGUUUUUUAUUCAUGACAACAUAAAAUCAACAUGCUGACAAAAGCGGUGCAGCAUUACCUCUUUGAUUCCAGGUCACCCAGACAGUCUAGGCAUAUGCAUACUGAUACUGAUAGCCCAUGCAGUGCAGAACCAAGCCAAUGGACAGGAGCUCAGGAAUUGUGGAUGACAAAGGUAACUUUAGGCAUUUGGUUUGUUUUACUUAUCUGUGAUCCAGCCUUUGCUAGAAGAGAGAAGCUGAUACAGCAGGAGGCAGAUAAAGGAUGCUUGGUUCCUCAUUGCACAGCCUGUGACCAAUACAUAGGAUAUGAGAUUUGCUGGCAUGCAGAUCACUCAUGAAGGUUACUGACGACCACAAGGUUAUUUACUGAUAGAAUUUUGACCCAGCGUUACACUGCACUAAAGCAUCACAAACAUGUAUAAAAGUAUCACUGAAAAAAAAAAAAAAAAAAAAAAUCUUAUUUCAGUCUCAUUAGUCAUCUUCCCAGCAUAUUUUACGCAUGAAUAAUUAUGCUUGCAUAAUUUGACCAUUUGUUUUAUUUAUUUUUCUGCUGUUUUACACAUAUUUGAAUAGAACUUUUAAAGUUUAGGGAAUCUGAUUGAUACAGUGAUGCCAAACCCACGAUUGCACUUAUAAGUUCAGUUGAUUAAUUUAGCCUACUUAAAAUAAUGAUAUUAAUUCAGCUUAGAAAAGUCAUAAAAAUUGGUGAGUUAUUUUUUGAACUGUAUGAAAACUUAUAAGUUACUGAAAAUGAAAAAUGAUUUUUUAGGAAUGAAUGACU